ACCUUACUGGAGAUUCCUGCCUACAUGAGUCCUUAUGAGGGUUUUUAUUGGAGGAUUCUUCUAGUCCUGUUCUUUGUGGAGAAUAAACCAGAGUUCCCUUGAGGUAAAUGACUUUUAAGCGAUGCUCCAAGUUUGGCUCCACAGACAACAGUUAAAGAGAGUAAAAGAUACAUGUCUGCACCGAGCAGCCAAACAGCAUUUUAGACUGCUGACUUCUGAACAAGGAAUGUUUUGUGAAUAUUGCAAAGAAUUCAGAAGGCUCACCACUUCCUCCUACAAAUAAAAUAUAUUGCGUCUACAAACACUCGUGAAGAGGAGAAAGGAGUAAGUAAACUGAGGAAUUGAGAUGGAUGGGUUUUGCCUAAGAGGUAGAGAACGUGCCCAAUUGACAUUAUUUUGUAACUAGCAGGAGCCAAGAGGUCCUGCCUCUUUGAGGGGUAUAUUUGAUAUAUUUUCAAGUCAUUUAAAUAAAUGACUUUAUUUUCAAGUCAAGUCAUUUAAUAUGUAAUUUGAGAGGGAGGAGCAUGGAGAAUUUCCUUGACCUUGCGCAUAUUGUACUGCCUCAAACUGUGUUAUGUAACUGUAGUUAAUUUUGAAUAUUGGAUAUUGAGAAAAUAUUCAGCAGGUUGGUUUUGAUAGCAAUUUCAUUAUCUUGUACCUGUGAGGAGACGUGAGCUGGUAGGCAGUCUGAAAAACAACCGAGUGCUAUAAAUAAUAUUAAUAUUACUAUGUUUUACUGCUGUUUACUUUAGUUUUUGUGCCAUGAAAUAGGGUGAUGAUCAGGAAAAACAAUAUUUAUAUUGAAACCAUAUGGUUCACAAGGAAAAGCAUUUUUUCCUUGUGACUAGUCUUCUGUCUGCAGUCUGAAGUGACAGUAUCUCUGUAUUCACCUGACAGUUUUUGACAGUGGAUCAGUUGUUGCUACUGAGGAAGCAGCUGACAUUUUUACUUCUUUGAAAGGUAUGAACUGUCAUUUACAGUUCAUAAGAGUUACGCUAGUCAGUGCUUAAGGAAAACAUAAAAAGCU